rnacentral:sRNA from 15 species
CGGGGAUGGUCCGUAAGGUUUUGCCGUUCAAUUUCUCAGUUAGUCCGCCAUCCAUUUUGGAUGUUCCUAAACCGCACGUUUCUAUGCGAUAGUUAGCCGAUGGUUUUUAAAUGCAACUCUGAAUAAUUGUCACUCACAACGAAAAAAUGGUUAUUACUGCGAAAACGUAAACAAUGAUUGUGACAAAAUAAUCAAAAAACAACAACAAUCAUGCUCAAUGGUUUGGAUGCAUUCAAGGCUGACGAUGAGAUUGAAUGCGGCAUGGCCGAGUCUGCCAGGCUGAAGUUGCAAGUGUGUGGCGAAUAAAUGGCAGACGACUGCCAACAUAGAACAAAUAUUGUCGAAUCUGGACGGAUCAUGUAGCUCCAGCAGAAGAACCUUCACAGGAAGAAGGAAGAACAUGAUAUGAGGCAGGAAAAGAUAGCCUCAUCCACACGCAAAAAAAUUCCAGAAUGAUUUAUUGGAAAUCGUAUCUGUUCUGCUGACUGAUUAAAAUCACCAGAACUGUUGCUGUUAUCGGGCUGUUCGCAUAUUUUGCUGUUGAAACACGGCCGAAAUAAUUGCUACAUCUUCAUCAACCAAAAAUUAAUAAAUCUUCCGCGCAAAUUUAAUGCACUUGUUAUUGGCAUUAGCUGUUUUUGACGGAUGGUGGAUGGUGCCAGUGUGAAUCGGAGUUUUACAUCUGUCAAAAAAUCCCACCAUUCCCCCGGGAUGGACUCAGUGUGCAAAGCCUACUAGACUCCUUAUGAGUAUCGGGUAUAAACAUAUUCAACUUAGUAUUAUAAAGUUCCUAGACAUCUUAGGAUGUCUUUAUCAAAUUGUUUUUCUAUAAAAAACCAAGCUAGCUGUUUUUGUUUUUUAACAGAAUUUUGCGUAAGCGGGAACAUGUAUAAAAACGCGAAACCUGGCUCCCCCUGAAUAUAUUCAAGAAACUUUUUGAGCUUGUCUCAGAAAAACGGACAUAUCAGAAACUAUUAAAUGUUGUAUGUUGUAAUUGUAUUGUUGUAUGUUGCUAUAUACAUUUUUCACGAAUUCUGUUGUAAUUUAAAACUAUCAAGCUUUCAAAUA